UAAUCUUUUAGAUACACUUUAUAAAUGCAUAUCUUUAUUGCGGAGAAACCAUGGUAGUUACAAAUUUUAAUCAAUUACAGCCUAAUUUUAAGUGCCCGCAAGGUGUUUCUUUCACUUAAACUAGUAAUUGAUGAGAAAUAUCUAAUGGUUAAAUUCUUUCUGCAUUAAGCUUUAUAGAACCAAACUCAAUCACAGGGAUCUAAAUAUAAUUGCUCAUUAAUGUGUUUAUACUGCUGGCUGUAGAUUGGUUACCACACGUUUGUAGACUCUCAUUGUAAAAGUUUGUGACUUGUCAUACUUAUGCCUGUCAAAGAGCCAGCCUGUAACAUUUGAUCCAUGUGCCUGUUUUUAUGGAUGUAUUCUUUUCUUUCAUUCUUUCUUAAAGAGUAAGAAUCAGUCGACUAUCCUUCCAAAUGCUUCCAACCUCCAUGGUUAUGCAGUACGGUCUCUAUACAGAGCAGUGCAAGUAGCAGUGGAACAGGAAACUCUCGUUCGAGUUGCUGUGUGGUGCAUUGGAGAAUACGCUGACAUGUUAGUAAAUACUGCUGGAAGGCUUGAUAUAGAGGAACCAUUGACUGAGUUCAUGCUUUUGAACAGUUGACAUGUUUAUGAUCCCCGCAACUACAGGACAGAUGGGUGUUUCGCCUGCGCAUGUUGCAACAAUUCCGGAGCUGAAACCCGGUCUCCUAUCAGUUCAUGAAAGCAAGGAUUUGAGCAAGUACUUUGUGUGUGGUGGGUUUGCGUCUGUUCAUGCAAAUUCUUUAGCAUAUAUAAAUUCUAUUAAAUCCUAUAACUCUAUAUUGGCUAUUGUUAAAGUUUAGUUCUAAUACAAUGCGAAAGAGUCUAUCUAUAUAUAUAUAAAGCUAGGAAUGGUAAAGAAUG